CAAUAGCGUAUAUUAAAGUUGUUGCGGUAAAAAAGCUCGUAGUUGGAUUUCUGUUGAGAGCGACCGGUCCAUACCAUGUAUGCGUAUCUGGCUUGCUCUCGGCAUCCUCUCGAUAGACGUUACUGCGCUUGAUUGCGUGGUGCGGAUCUCGGGACUUUUACUUUGAGGAAAUUAGAGUGUUCACGGCAGGCUUUCGCCAGAAUACAUUAGCAUGGAAUAAUACUAUAGGAUCUCGGUUCUAUUUUGUUGGUUUCUAGAAUUGAGAUAAUGAUUAAUAGGGACAAUUGGGGGCAUUCGUAUCAACACGUCAGAGGUGGAAUUCUUGGAUUGUGUUGCGACGAACUACUGCGAAAGCAUUUGCCAAGGAUGUUUUCAUUGA
rnacentral:rRNA from 1 species